UCUUCUUCUUCCUCCUUCCAUCUCACAUUUGUUUCCCCCUCCAUGGAAGCAUGGUAUGAAAACUUCAUAACUUUCUCUCUCUAACUCCAAUUUUCAUGCCUUUAUGCGCCUUUUCAUGGAACCCUUGUGCUCUUUCACUCUUUUACGUCAAAACCCUUGAAAAAUCCCACUUUCAUACUUUCUCUCACUAGCUAGGUGUUUAGAGAGAGAAAGAGAGAGAAAGCUCCCAUAAUAGCUUGAAAAAUUUAUUGGAAAGAAUUUCAAAGCUAUAAGUUACCAAGGUGAGUAGUGAAUUAGAAUUUUUUUUUUUUUUGUGUUGGGAAUGAUUAGUAAGUAGACUUUUGAAUGUUGUAGUUGAGGUUAUCCACUCAUUUUAGAGUGAUUAGGGUAGUGAAAAUAGAUAGCCAUUUAAAUGGCAAUUGGAAGCUAACUAAGAGAAAGCUUUAGACUUUAUAAGUAUGUGAAUUGACAAAUUGGUGAUGCUAAUGUGAUGAUAGGUUCCAACGAAGCCUCAUUAUCCCAUUUGGACAAUUAGGGAAGUUAGGAUCGGCUAAAGGCUCAAACAAUCCCGGUGAGUGAACUUGCAUUUCAAAAUUGUUUUGGAAAUGUGAAUGUAUUUGUACAAAACCUUUAAAUGAUUUUAUCCCCUUUUUCUUACAAAUGGUGCCUUGGGAACAAGCCCUUGAUAAAUUGUCUCUAUGUGUGACAUGUGGUUGUUAUGGAUUCUUGUACUACAUUAUGUUGAUAUAUAUAUAUAUAUAUAUAUAUAUAUAUAUGUUGUGCAUUGAUGGUUGAUAUUGUGUGAUAAUGAUAACCGUGUGUGUGCAUGAUGUGGGGGGAUGCACAUGCCGGUGAUGAUGGUGGUGAGGGAGAUGAUGAUGAUAGUGCCCGUGUGGACGAUGUGGGGGGAUGUACACGAUGGCACUAACUGUGCACGAUGUGGAGGGAUGCACACGAUGACUCCGACUAUGUGCACGAUGUGGGGGGAUGCACAUGGCUGGGUGAGAUGAUGGUGGUGUUGGUGUUUAAUUAUGUAUAUAUGUAUAUAUAUAUGUUUGUGAAAUAAAAGUUCAUGAAUAUAGUAUAUGGUUGUAAUGCAUGUGAAAAUUUGGCAUGUUGAACUUUGAAAAUUUUUGAGUAUUUCAUGUUGAAAUUGGCAUGAUGAAUCUUGAGAAUGUCACAUUUUCUUGCAAAUUGAGUUUAUUGCAGCACCAAAUGGAUUUUUAGUGCAAAUGAGGUCCUUUUUACAUUUAGGUGCCCUGCUUCUCGCUGUAGCGAGAAACAUUCUGUUUUGGCAGCCAUAAACUUGCUGCAGCGAGAAUAAAUCUCGCUGUAGCGAGAAACUCUCAGGUUCUAAUACAAUGCCUUCACUUUGAUAAAGAUUUUGACUACUUUUCCAUCCGAAUUGGGAAAAGUGAUAAACAUAAAAGUUGUAUCCCUGCCUCUUAGCUUUCUAAUGGUUUAAAAAUCAGGUCAAUUGGACUUUUGUAGAGGGAGAUAUACUAGAAAAAUUGAAACAUAUGCAAACUAACACUAUUUCUCGUUACAGCUAGAAACUUUCUAUUUUGGCCACCCGAAUCUCACUGCAGCGAGAAUGAAUUUCACUGAAGUGAGAAACUUGUUGCCAUGCUUGCUACCUUGCUUGAUUUUGACCUACUUUUCACCCAUUUAACUUCAUGGAUUGAUCAUGGGUUUGUGAAACACUAUGAGGGUAUUAAUCAAGGUUUGAAAUUAAGGGUUUUUAGUAAGAAAUUAAAUCAAGUGCAUUGUUUUUGAAACAAGUGCAUCAUGAUUUUCAAAUUCUUCCUAUCAAUUGCUUGUUAC
rnacentral:lncRNA from 1 species